UACAGAGGGUGCAAGCGUUAAUCGGAAUUACUGGGCGUAAAGCGUGCGUAGACGGUUAUGUAAGUCGGGUGUGAAAGCCCCGGGCUCAACCUGGGAAUUGCAUUCGAUACUGCCGUGCUUGAGGACUGGAGAGGAGACUGGAAUUUACGGUGUAGCGGUGAAAUGCGUAGAUAUCGUAAGGAAGACCAGUGGCGAAGGCGGGUCUCUGGACAGUUCCUGACGCUGAGGCACGAAGGUCAGGGGAGCAAACGGGG
rnacentral:rRNA from 1 species